rnacentral:rRNA from 1 species
GAUGAACGCUGGCGGCGUGCCUAAUACAUGCAAGUCGAGCGGUAAGGCCCCGUUCGGGGGUACACGAGCGGCGGACGGCUGAGUAACACGUAGGAACGUACCCCAAAGUGAGGCAUAAGCACCAGAAAUGGUGUCUAAUACCGCAUGUGAUCUUCGGAUUAAAGCUUCGGCGCUUUGGAACGGCCUGCGCAUGAUUAGCUUGUUGGUGAGGUAAUAGCUCACCAAGGCGACGAUCAUUAGCUGGUCUGAGAGGAUGAUCAGCCAGACUGGGACUGAGAACGGCCAGACUCCUACGGGAGGCAGCAGGUAGGGAAUUUUCCACAAUGGCGAAGCCUGAUGGAGCAACGCCGCGUGCAGGAUGAAU